AUGAAGAUAAAUAAGCAGCAGAAGGCCUCACUAAGGCAGCAACACAGCAGGCUUGACUUCAUGCUUGGCACCAAAGCUGGUGGUGAGACCAUUCUAAAAAGCCUCGAUCCAUUUUUCCAGAGUUGGGGAUGGCGGAGUCGGUGCACACCUGGAAGGACCAUGGCUAUUUAGCAACCUGCACAAACAAGAACGGCAGCUUUGCCAAUUUGAGAAUUUACCUACAUGGAUUGUGUUGCUGGACCUUCAGAGUUACGAUGGUGACACACAAGGCAAAGAAAAGAGAUCGAAGCAGUAUUUUGAACAAAGUAGAAGAAAGAAUGAAGAAUUGGGUGGGACAGUACUAGGCGGAUAAGCGAUUACCACCCAUAGUUGGAGGAGGAGCCAUCAACAGAUAUUGGCCCAUUGCCGAUGGGCGCCUGGUUAGAUACAGCAUAGAUUGAGGUGGUAUGUAGUGAAAAUUCAUCUUAUCAAAAUAUAAAAAUUCUAUACUCGAAGCAGUUUGCAAAUAUUCUCAUCCUGAGUGGGGAUGUUAAUUUACCAGAGAGUGAUUUGUUGUAUACCUGGGCCAUCAUGGGCAGUGGCAAAGAAGAUUACACUGGCAAAGAUGUACUCAUUCUGGGAGACAAAUGCGGGGGCAUAUUGUGUGAAAUAGUCAAACUAAAACCAAAGAUGGUCACUAUGGUAGAGCUUGACCAAAUGAUGAUCAAUGGAUAUAAGAAGUAUAUGUGAAAAACGUGUGGCGAUGUCUUAGACAAUCUUAAAGGAGGCUGCUAUCAGGUUCUAAUAGAAGACUGUAUUCCGGUACUGAAGAAGUCGCCAAAGAAGAAUAAUCUUAUUAUGUGAUUAAUGAUUUGACUUCAGCUGUUCCAAUCUCCAUAUCUCCAGAAAAAUUCCACAUGGGAUUUUCUCAGACUGAUGUGACCUCUCAAUGAAAGUAUUGAAACAGGAUGGGAAGUACUUUACACAGGGGAAAUGUGUCAAUCUGACAGAAGCGCUGUCACUCUAUGAAGAACAGCUGGGGCGCCUGUAUUGUCUGUGCUGGAAUUCUCAAAGGAGAUCGUCUGAGUCCCUUCGUACUUGGAAUUGUGGGUAUUUUACACUCUCUUUGGAAAGCUAAACCUUGAAGAUGAAUAG